AUUGAACGCUGGCGGCAUGCUUUACACAUGCAAGUCGAACGGCAGCACGGGUGCUUGCACCUGGUGGCGAGUGGCGAACGGGUGAGUAAUACAUCGGAACGUACCUUAUCGCGGGGGAUAACGCAGCGAAAGUUGCGCUAAUACCGCAUACGCCCUGAGGGGGAAAGCGGGGGACCGUAAGGCCUCGCGCGAUUAGAGCGGCCGAUGUCUGAUUAGCUUGUUGGUGAGGUAAAAGCUCACCAAGGCGAUGAUCAGUAGCUGGUCUGAGAGGACGAUCAGCCACACUGGGACUGAGAAACGGCCCAGACUCCUACGGGAGGCAGCAGUGGGGAAUUUUGGACAAUGGGGGCAACCCUGAUCCAGCAAUGCCGCGUGAGUGAAGAAGGCCUUCGGGUUGUAAAGCUCUUUUGUCAGGGAAGAAACAGCAGCUCUAACACUGUCUGCGAAUGACGGUACCUGAAGAAUAAGCACCGGCUAACUACGUGCCAGCCGCCGCAGUAA
rnacentral:rRNA from 1 species